UACGUAGGCAGCGAGCGUUGUUCGGAGUUACUGGGCGUAAAGAGUGCGUAGGCGGUUUUCUAAGUUUGGUGUGAAAUCUCCCGGCUUAACUGGGAGGGUGCGCCGAAAACUGGAAGGCUUGAGUAUGGGAGAGGAGACUGGAAUUCAUGGUGUAGCAGUGAAAUGCGUAGAGAUCAUGAGGAAGACCAGUGGCGAAGGCGGGUCUCUGGACAGUUCCUGACACUGAGACACGAAGGCCAGGGGAGCAAACGGG
rnacentral:rRNA from 1 species